rnacentral:rRNA from 1 species
AUUGAACGCUGGCGGCAGGCCUAACACAUGCAAGUCGGACGGUAGCACAGAGGAGCUUGCUCCUCGGGUGACGAGUGGCGGACGGGUGAGUAAUGUCUGGGGAUCUGCCCGAUAGAGGGGGAUAACCACUGGAAACGGUGGCUAAUACCGCAUAACGUCGCAAGACCAAAGAGGGGGACCUUCGGGCCUCUCACUAUCGGAUGAACCCAGAUGGGAUUAGCUAGUAGGCGGGGUAACGGCCCACCUAGGCGACGAUCCCUAGCUGGUCUGAGAGGAUGACCAGCCACACUGGAACUGAGACACGGUCCAGACUCCUACGGGAGGCAGCAGUGGGGAAUAUUGCACAAUGGGCGCAAGCCUGAUGCAGCCAUGCCGCGUGUAUGAAGAAGGCCUUCGGGUUGUAAAGUACUUUCAGCGGGGAGGAAGGCGAUGUGGUUAAUAACCGCAUUGAUUGACGUUACCCGCAGAAGAAGCACCGGCUAACUCCGUGCCAGCAGCCGCCGUAA